rnacentral:rRNA from 1 species
AGCCAGCUUGCUGGUGGAUUAGUGGCGAACGGGUGAGUAACACGUGAGUAACCUGCCCUUAACUCUGGGAUAAGCCUGGGAAACUGGGUCUAAUACCGGAUAUGACUCCUCAUCGCAUGGUGGGGGGUGGAAAGCUUUUUGUGGUUUUGGAUGGACUCGCGGCCUAUCAGCUUGUUGGUGAGGUAAUGGCUCACCAAGGCGACGACGGGUAGCCGGCCUGAGAGGGUGACCGGCCACACUGGGACUGAGACACGGCCCAGACUCCUACGGGAGGCAGCAGUGGGGAAUAUUGCACAAUGGGCGCAAGCCUGAUGCAGCGACGCCGCGUGAGGGAUGACGGCCUUCGGGUUGUAAACCUCUUUCAGUAGGGAAGAAGCGAAAGUGACGGUACCUGCAGAAGAAGCGCCGGCUAACUACGUGCCAGCAGCCGCGGUAAUACGUAGGGCGCAAGCGUUAUCCGGAAUUAUUGGGCGUAAAGAGCUCGUAGGCGGUUUGUCGCGUCUGCCGUGAAAGUCCGGGGCUCAACUCCGGAUCUGCGGUGGGUACGGGCAGACUAGAGUGAUGUAGGGGAGACUGGAAUUCCUGGUGUAGCGGUGAAAUGCGCAGAUAUCAGGAGGAACACCGAUGGCGAAGGCAGGUCUCUGGGCAUUAACUGACGCUGAGGAGCGAAAGCAUGGGGAGCGAACAGGAUUAGAUACCCUGGUAGUCCAUGCCGUAAACGUUGGGCACUAGGUGUGGGGGACAUUCCA